CCUACGGGAGGCAGCAGUGGGGAAUAUUGGGCAAUGGGCGCAAGCCUGACCCAGCAACGCCGCGUGAAGGAAGAAGGCUCUCGGGUUGUAAACUUCUUUUAUCAGGGACGAAGCAAGUGACGGUACCUGAUGAAUAAGCCACGGCUAACUACGUGCCAGCAGCCGCGGUAAUACGUAGGUGGCAAGCGUUAUCCGGAUGUACUGGGUGUAAAGGGCGUGUAGGCGGGAAAGCAAGUCAGAUGUGAAAACCAUGGGCUCAACCUAUGGCCUGCAUUUGAAACUGGUUUUCUUGAGUACUGGAGAGGCAGACGGAAUUACUAGUGUAGCGGUGAAAUGCGUAGAUAUUAGGAGGAACACCAGUGGCGAAGGCGGUCUGCUGGACAGCAACUGACGCUGAGGCGCGAAAGCGUGGGGAGCAAACAGGAUUAGAUACCCCUGUAGUC
rnacentral:rRNA from 1 species